UACGUAGGGGGCAAGCGUUGUCCGGAAUCAUUGGGCGUAAAGCGCGCGUAGGCGGCCCGGUAAGUCCGUUGUGAAAGUCAAAGGCUCAACCUUUGAACGCCGAUGGAUCUGCCGGGCUAGAGUCCGGAAGAGGCGAGUGGAAUUCCUGGUGUAGCGGUGGAAUGCGCAGAUAUCAGGAGGAACACCAAUAGCGAAGGCAGCUCGCUGGGACGGUACUGACGCUGAGGCGCGAAAGCGUGGGGAGCGAACAGG
rnacentral:rRNA from 1 species